rnacentral:tRNA from 1 species
GGUAGCAGAAUGGUUAAAGUGCUCGGCUGCUAACUGAAAGGUUGGUGGUUCAAAUCUACCAGCCA